UACGUAGGGGGCAAGCGUUGUCCGGAAUCAUUGGGCGUAAAGCGCGUGUAGGCGGUUCGGUAAGUCUGCUGUGAAAGUCCAGGGCUCAACCCUGGGAUGCCGGUGGAUACUGUCGGACUAGAGUACGGAAGAGGCGAGUGGAAUUCCCGGCGUAGCGGUGAAAUGCGCAGAUAUCGGGAGGAACACCAAUUGCGAAGGCAGCUCGCUGGGACGUCACUGACGCUGAGACGCGAAAGCGUGGGGAGCAAACAGG
rnacentral:rRNA from 1 species